rnacentral:rRNA from 1 species
AACUGCGAAUGGCUCAUUAUAUAAGUUAUCGUUUAUUUGAUAGUACCUUACUACUUGGAUAACCGUGGUAAUUCUAGAGCUAAUACAUGCUAAAAAUCCCGACUUCGGAAGGGAUGUAUUUAUUAGAUUAAAAACCAAUGCCCUUCGGGGCUCCUUGGUGAUUCAUGAUAACUCCUCGAAUCGCAUGGCCUUGCGCCGGCGAUGGUUCAUUCAAAUUUCUUCCCUAUCAACUUUCGAUGUUUGGGUAUUGGCCAAACAUGGUUGCAACGGGUAACGGAGGGUUAGGGCUCGACCCCGGAGAAGGAGCCUGAGAAACGGCUACUACAUCCAAGGAAGGCAGCAGGCGCGCAAAUUACCCAAUCCCGACUCGGGGAGGUAGUGACAAUAAAUACUGAUACAGGGCUCUUUUGGGUCUUGUAAUUGGAAUGAGUACAAUUUAAAUCCCUUAACGAGGAACAAUUGGAGGGCAAGUCUGGUGCCAGCAGCCGCGGUAAUUCCAGCUCCAAUAGCGUAUAUUAAAGUUGUUGUGGUUAAAAAGCUCGUAGUUGAACCUUGGGCCUGGCUGGCCGGUCCGCCUCACCGCGUGUACUGGUCCGGCCGGGCCUUUCCCUCUGUGGAACCCCAUGCCCUUCACUGGGUGUGGCGGGGAAACAGGACUUUUACUUUGAAAAAAUUAGAGUGCUCCAGGCAGGCCUAUGCUCGAAUACAUUAGCAUGGAAUAAUGAAAUAGGACGUGUGGUUCUAUUUUGUUGGUUUCUAGGACCGCCGUAAUGAUUAAUAGGGACAGUCGGGGGCAUCAGUAUUCAAUUGUCAGAGGUGAAAUUCUUGGAUUUAUUGAAGACUAACUACUGCGAAAGCAUUUGCCAAGGAUGUUUUCAUUAAUCAGGAACGAAAGUUAGGGGAUCGAAGACGAUCAGAUACCGUCGUAGUCUUAACCAUAAACUAUGCCGACUAGGGAUCGGACGAUGUUAU